AUUACCCUCAUAAUCCAGCUUAAGGGUCUGUGGCUGUGCUCAUGAUAAUCUAGUGAAAAUACCUGUAAAUCAUUUUUAAAUUUGAGCCUAAAUAAAAAUAAAACAAACUAUGACGGGCUAAAUUUUAGAUUGACAUAAUUUUAACACAAGUUUAUUUCUUGAAUAAAUGCAUUGGUUUGCAUUUUAUACAACUUAUAAUUAAAAAAGAAUAUUUCUGUAAACUGAUCGAUACUAACCAACAACAAUAUAUACGUUCAACAUAAUCUCUGACUACAACACUAAGACAACACUACUUAAGAAUAUUAAAUAUCUGUGGUACAGGCCCGUAUACUUUCUCUUUUCCACUUCAACUAUUGCGAUAGGUUUAAGUGAGAUAGCAAACUUCAAACUCAAACGGACGAAUGAAAACGAAAUUCAAUAUGGCUGUGAACUGCAUUGGAAAACUGAAUAGCAUUGGCGUCCUCGUCACGGAUGCGCGGAUCGCUCUCUCAAAAAACGAGUCCGUUUUAGCGGUCUUCCUAGAUAUCUCAGCUGCAUAUGACAAUGUCCUCCUUUCCGUGCUCAGUAGUAAGCUACGCCAGCUGAGCAUUCCGGCUAAGAUGCGACAAUGCAUUUGCAACUUGUUUUCCGGACGAUUUGUCAAGCUCCACAUUCCCGGUGUAGAAUCUGUUACCAGAACCGUUUGGAGAGGUCUCCCUCAAGGCUCGGUCCUCAGUCCCCUGCUUUACAACAUCUACACUUCUGAUCUCCACAGAUCCCUUAACAGUGACUGCCGGAUCUUGCAGUAUGCGGAUGAUCUCUGCCUAUAUCUGCCGUAUGAAUCUAUAGAUCAGGCCUCGGCGUCCAUGCAGGUAUCCCUCGACUCCCUAAAUCACUGGCUCGUCUCCCAUGGUCUUAGUUUAUCCGCCCCCAAAAGCUCAACACUCAUUUUCACUCGGAAAAGAGUUAUCCCGGAUGUCCGCCUGGAAGUUGAAGGCCUCCCUAUAAAUUUAGAGGACCGCGUGAAAUUUCUGGGUGUCAUCCUGGACUCCAAAUUAACAGGUGUAUCUCAUAUUGACUAUGUCACGGGCAAAUGUGAGAAGAAAUUGAAUUUGUUGCGAGCUCUCGCAGGCGUUUGGUGGGGCGCUCAUCCGUUCACCUUGAAGCUCAUUUACAAUGCCACAAUAAGGAGUUUACUGGACUACGCCAGUUUUUGGCUGGAGCCGUGCAGCAAAACUGCACUGGCUCGGCUCGGCGUGGUUCAGUCAAGAGCCCUCCGCAUUGUAUUGGGUUGUAUGAGGUCUACACCGAUUAACGCACUGCAGGUUGAGAGUGGCGACCCUCCUCUUCUCCUUCGCAGGCAGUACCUUGCUGAUAAAUUCGCGUACAAGAUGGUCCUUAAUUCUAAUCACAAGCUACUGCCGAAGCUGUCCACUUUGGACAACUUGCUCGGACGUAGUUCAUAUUGGAGACACAAAGAUCCCCCUUUAGUUUUAACCUCCUUCAGAAAGCUACGUAUGGUUACAGAGAACGCCCCGAUUCGCCAGUGCACUAAACUACCUGUCUACACCUCCCCAUACAAGGUCCUACACUUUCGCCCUAAUUUCACCCCUUUCAUUGGCGUUAAUAAGGACACUAUUCAGGCAAACGUUUGGUUUUCCCAGUUCGUCAAUGAUAAGUGGCCUAACCACACCCAAUUUUACACAGACGCUUCAAAACUUAGUCCGAAUGGCAAAACUGGGGUUGCCGUCUACCUUUCCAACUUCCAAACUUUUCUUCAAUUCCAGUGCCCUCCAGAGACAUCCGUGUUCACUGGAGAGUGCAUUGGAAUUUUAGAGGCAUGUAAAUUCAUUUUUUCGCAUAACAAUAUCACAAAAGCUAUAAUUUUCUCUGACUCCAGAAGUGCCCUGGAAGCUAUCGCUAAAAACUCUUUAAAAGAUAACCUUCGUAGUCCGAUAAUUAUAAAUAUUAAAGAACUUCUGUGCCUUCUCUCCAGUAAGGAUAUAGAGGUUAUACUUGUAUGGAUACCAGGCCAUAUGGGCAUCACGGGAAAUGAGUGCGCAGACUCAGCCGCCAAGGCGGCUAUCUCCAGCAGCUUAGCAGACACGACACAUUACCGCAUAGAAACCUAUGACUUGAUCCAUAAGGCGAAAGCUGACCUCUUCAAAGCCUGGCAAUCUUACUGGGAUGUUUCCAGUAAGACCAAGGGUGGAGCACUGGCAGCAAUUCAGCCCUCUAUCCCCUCCAAACCUUGGUUCCACAAGUUCAAAAAGGUUCCAAAGCGGGUUACGUCAGUAAUAUGCCGUAUCCGCAUUGGUCAUUGCUGCACUCCAGUUUUCCUACACAAAAUCAGAGUCCUUAGUAAUCCCCUGUGUGAGUGUGGUCUAGAGGAGGGUACUUUGGACCACAUUUUCCUCAACUGCCCCCGGAACAAAGCUUACGAUAUGGAUCAAGUCAUAAGCAAGCUUAAGAUCCAAAACCCAGUUAAUGUCCGCCACCUCCUUUCCUUUUUCCCAAAUCCCCAAAUUAUAUGUGCUUUUAUUAAAUUUAUUCACACUAACAAUAUAAAAUUGUAAAUAUUAUAUUUAGUCUAUGGUUGUAAAUAAUCUCUAUGAUAAGUAUGUAUCUACUAACUCAUAUUUUGUGUUGUUACAGGCAGCGAAAUAUCGCCUGAAAAAACUUAAAAGUUUUAAGCCCGCAGAAUACCCAUGUGUGGUCACUACGCGACACUGGCAGUAAUUGUUGCGCAAGUUAGCAGAUUGCCAAAACACUAAAAAAAAAAAAAAAAAAAAAAAGUGCCUAUUGUAAUAUGCAAUUAUAUAGGUAGGUAAUACGGUUAGCUCGUUGACUUCCAGAAUCAUAAUGUUGAUGAACUGCAAUAAAUAUAUUUUAUGAGUGUUAUUCGUAUUUAAAUUACCCUCAUAAUCCAGCUUAAGGGUCUGUGGCUGUGCUCAUGAUAAUCUAGUGAAAAUACCUGUUAAUCAUUUUUAAAUUUGAGCCAAAAUAAAAAAUAAAACAAACUAUGCCGGGCUAAAUUUAAGAUUGACAUAAUUUUAACACAAGUUUAUUUCUUGAAUAAAUGCAUUGGUUUGAAUUUUAUACAAUUUAUAAUUAAAAAAGAAUAUUUCUGUAAACUGAUCGAUACUAACCAACAACAUAUAUAUACUUUUAACAUAAUCUCUGACUACAACACUACUUAAGAAUAUUAAAUAUCUGUGGUACAGGCUCGUAUACUUUCUCUUUUCCACUUCAACUAUUGCGAUAGGUUUAAGUGAGACAGCAAACUGUCAAACUCAAACGGACGAAUGAAAACGAAAUUCAAUAUGGCUGUGAACUGUUUGUUGUGAUGUGUCAAGUUUGUUUUUAAAUUAUUAUUUUUUAGUUUUCUAGCAUUAAAAUAGUCGUUAAAAGAAGCUUACAAAUCAUUAAUUGUGCUAAAGUAGCAGUUUCAAUUUAGGAUUUUAUUAACGUGUGGCAGAAACAUGUUUGGUAAAGGUUUGGUCACAUGGAGAAGCAGAGAGCCUUACAGACGCGUCAGAAGUGCAGCACUCAUGGCGCUUGGACACACAUGAAGAUUAUCGCGACUGUAGAGUCCAAGUAUUGUAAACCCAAGACACACCGAUCGUUUCAGUUGGCAACAAUAGUUUGACAUCCUAUAGCUGAAUACAGAAAUACGACUAAUCUACAUAAACUGACAGAAGGUUUACUGCCUGCGCAAGUAGAGAGAGAUGUUCGCAAUAGACUCAAUAGUUCCAUGAGUUCGCGAGUGACAUUCCCGCUGUUUAGGAGUCCAAACUAUGGACGCACCUUUAGGAUUCCUCGCAUUAUUGCAAAUUAGAGCUUGUUUAAUAUUCAGUAACAUUGGCUCCAAAGUUUAGGUAAAAUGAUUAUAAGCUAGAAAUAAACAUUUUUUUUUACCAGCGUCAUAAUCAACUUAAUAUUGUUCAAGCGACGAUAUCGAUAUUAAAUUUGGGUUACAAGCGGUUUUCACAUAAAUGUUGGUGAAGCCUUGAAACAUUACCAAGCAGCUCCAAAGCUAUUUGUUACAAAAUUUGCUGCUAGGUACUUUUUUCUACCCAACUUAUUCAUAGGAUAAGUAGACCUACAACUUACAUCUGUGUCUUAGUUAUUGUAGGCAAAAUAGUAUUGAACCAAUGAGAACUAUUGCCGAUCUGGAGUGUACAUUAGGACGCAAUUGCUGUUUGGAGUAAUAAAGUGUGCAAUUAUAAAGAACAAUCGUCUUGAACUGUCAAAGAUUAGAAGGCAAUGGAGAUCGCUCAUUGUUCCACUGCACGACGCAAUUACAGUAAGGUGCAUAACAUUAUAUAGAGCUAUUCCACAGGUAAUAAUCAUGAAUGUAUUGUGGACUCACUGAACUAAGUGGAUGAAC